UACGGAGGGGGCUAGCGUUGUUCGGAAUUACUGGGCGUAAAGCGCGUGUAGGCUGUUCGGAAAGUCGGGUGUGAAAGCCCUGGGCUCAACCUAGGAAGUGCACUCGAAACUCCCGAACUGGAGUCCCGGAGAGGAAGGCGGAAUUCUCGGUGUAGAGGUGAAAUUCGUAGAUAUCGAGAGGAACAUCGGUGGCGAAGGCGGCCUUCUGGACGGUGACUGACGCUGAGACGCGAAAGCGUGGGGAGCAAACAGG
rnacentral:rRNA from 1 species